GGACUCCCUCACUCUGUGACUGUGAAGAGGAAGCCUGAGGUGUAGCAGGCCCAGGCCCCAGAAGUAUGGAAAAAAUGAGGCCAUUUCCAAUCCAGAGGAAGACCUUCUAGAAGAAGUGAUGGGUGGGAGAGUGCUGACAUACUAUGCAAAGCUACUAUUUGGAGUUGGACACGAGUGCAUGUGACCUUGUGCCACAGCGGGAAUGUGAGCUGGAUGACAAAUGGAGAUUUGGACUUGUGAUAAUUGGCCUCUGUGUCAUUGUGUGGAAGACUGACUGGUCCCUUUAUUUCCUGUAGCUUGACUACCACACAAAUUAAUCCACUCAAAUGUUGGCAAGUGGAGCAGAGUCCCAGGACAGAUGGGCAGGUGCUGGAGCAGCCCCGCUGGAAGCGAUGCAGCAUCCAGGAAGACGGAGGAAGGGGCAGAGAGGGACCUCUGCUUUCCAGGCUGCCUUUUAUACUGCCUCUGGUCACCUGACGUGGAACGUACCCUAACCUAAUCAGUUACAUGCCUCCGUGUCAUCAUGGAGAUUCUCCUUGACAUGCAGUCACGGCCAUGAUCCAUCUUCAGAGCUUCUCUUUCUUCCCCACGGUAGGUCUGUCAGCAGAGAACCCUGACCACACACUCAUGUGUUUUCUCCUCCAGAAUGCGC
rnacentral:lncRNA from 1 species